rfam:Parcubacteria (Falkowbacteria) bacterium GW2011_GWF2_43_32 TV95_C0001, whole genome shotgun sequence.
GCCUUCAUCGUUCAACGGAUAGGACGCAAGAUUGCGGAUCUUGAAAUCCAGGUUCGAUUCCUGGUGGAGGCA